rnacentral:lncRNA from 1 species
CCUAAAAGCAGAAACUCAGCAAGUACGUCAAGGGUGCCUAAACUGUGACUUGCUCUCUAGCACAUGCAGUCUUACGGCUGCUGGGGAAGAAAAAAAAUGAAGAGGGAGUUGAGAAGCAGAAAUUUUCUGAGUCGAGAUAUCCCUCAGCACAGCAAAGUUAUCCCCCCUCAAUUAUUCUCUAUUAAAAUUCAGAUGAGGAAACUAGGGGUAGGCUCCAGGAUCCGGCCUUUACUGUGGGUGACCAUGUGAAAGAGACAUCCCCCCUCUUCUACUCUAACUUGUCUAUGGGAAAAGUAUAAAAGACCCUCAUUAAGUGCUCUUGCAGGCCAUUACAAAGCAUUUCCAGGCACUCAGCUGAAAGUGUUUAUGUAAGCGAAGUCCUUUUCAGCCCCUCUGGAGAAACACAGAUAUCAGCAACCU